CCCAGACUCCUACGGGAGGCAGCAGUGGGGGAUAUUGCACAAUGGGGGGAACCCUGAUGCAGCGACGCCGCGUGAACGAAGAAAUAUUUCGGUAUGUAAAGUUCUAUCAGCAGGGAAGAAAAUGACAGUACCUGACCAAGAAGCCCCGGCUAACUACGUGCCAGCAGCCGCGGUAAUACGUAGGGGGCGAGCGUUAUCCGGAUUUACUGGGUGUAAAGGGGGCGCAGACGGCAGCGCAAGCCAGGAGUGAAAGCCCGGGGCCCAACCCCGGGACUGCUCUUGGAACUGCGCGGCUGGAGUGCAGGAGGGGCAGGCGGAAUUCCUGGUGUAGCGGUGAAAUGCGUAGAUAUUAGGAGGAACACCAGUGGCGAAGGCGGCUUACUGGACGGCAACUGACGCUGAGGCUCGAAAGCGUGGGGAGCAAACAGGAUUAGAUACCCGUGUAA
rnacentral:rRNA from 1 species